rnacentral:lncRNA from 1 species
UUUUUUAAAAAAUUAUAUAAUAUAUUAAUAUAUCAUAAAAUUAAAAUACAAAAAACUAAAACAAAACAAUUAAAAAUCCCUCAUUCCCGUGACCGUGAGUAAGUGUAACAUAGCAAUUUAGCAAAACAAUUUAUAAUAUUAAUCUGUAACACAAAACCCCUAAAAUAUAAAUCCGUCACUUCUCACUCACAUCUCAGUUCUCAGUCACUGUUCUCGCCGCCGGAAGCCAACAGCAGCGAGCAUCUUCAGAUUCCAGCCGCGUCCAGCCAGCAUCAACCAUCAGCGACCCAUCGUCCAGCAGCAGCAGCAACAGAUUCCAGCAGCAGCAGCAGCAACAAAUUCCAGCAGCAGCAGCAUCAGCCACCGUCCAGCCACCCAGCAAGGCAGCAACAGCAUCUCUCGCGUGUCCAGCAGCGCCAUCAACCAUCAGCGACCCACCGUCCAGCAGCAGCAGCAACAGAUUCCAGCAGCAGCAGCAGCAGCAGCAUCAGCCACCGUCCAGCCACCCAGCAAGGCAGCAACAGCAUCUCUCGCGUGUCCAGCAGCGCCAUCAACCCUCAGCGACCCACCGUCCAGCAGCAGCAUCAGCCACCGUCCAGCCACCCAGCAAGGCAGCAACAGCAUCUCUCGCGUGUCCAGCAGCGCCUCCCAGUCUCCCACCCACCAGCACAGCCGCGCGAUUCCUCCCACCCACCAGUUUUUUGGAUUAGUUUUUUUUUUUUUUUAUAUUAGUGGUUGAUUACUUGAUUUGUACGUUGUGUAUGGUAUUUGUGAUGUUAGUAUUUUUAUAUUUUGUGUUGGUUAAUCAUGUAUUAGAGAAUUAUGUUUAAGUUUUUAGUCUAUUGUGUAGUAUUAUGUAUUGGAUAAUUAUGUUUUGAAAAUUUAUAGUUUUAUUAAUUUUUUUUUAAAAAUUCGUAAAAGCCCGGCCCAGGCCCGUUAAGGCCCGGCCCAGGCCCGUCAAAGCCCGGCCCGCCCAAAGCCCGCUCAUUUUGGAUGGACUUUAAGAGGGCCUGGACUUUUUAAAUAAGGUAUGGGCCUGGUCCUGGGCUUGGCAAAGCCCGGCCCAGGCCCUUAAAUUGCCAACCCUACUUGUAGUUGGUUCCAUGAUUUUUUUUUUCUUCCAAUCUUGACGUUUGGUAACCAUUUUCCGUUGACUCCUAUUAAUGUAAAAAUAUUUACCGUUGACUCCUGUAUUGAAUAUAUAAUAAACACAAGUAGAUUUGAGAUACCAUGAAUCCAUACAACAAUUUAAUAAUUCAUUCAUGAAUAUAUUCGGGUUGAAAACUAACAAAUAAGUGGAAAUAUUUUAACAUAAAAUUCACAUGUCAUAUUUUCAUUAGAUGAUUUUAUUAUCUAGUAUAUAUACUUUGGAUUUAAGAAAAAUAUCCGUAUUAUUUACUCUAAAGAACAUCAUGAAAAGACUUUUCAAAUAAUAUUGUUAAAGAGAAAAGAGUACUAUCUCAUU